rnacentral:lncRNA from 1 species
GUAUAAAUAGGACUCAAGGGACGGCGAUGGGACCUUGCAUAGCUAGCCUUGCCAUGCUUUGUUGGUCUCGAGUCUUCACUGAUCUUUACUUCUUUGGGAGAGGCAUGGCAGAGUACUUCUGGUUCUGGUCGCUCCCACAGACUUGUCCUGAUUCGGUGGAGGCCUGGCUGUUUCUGCUUGAUCGUGCCACCACUGCUGAUUUGUGUUUGUGACGCUACUGAACUGGACUGCUGCUAUCCUGACAAUGGAGAUCGGAAUGACUCUAAAAUCUACUUCUAAACAGGCUUCGACUCCAAUGCUGCCGUUUCUCGGAGGUCAGGAAUCUUUCUUACCCGUCACAUCUUCAGUGGCAGCGUGUCUGCCAAAUUGCUCUGUUUUGUUUCAUCACAGCAUUCACCUCUACCUGACAUUUCCUCGGCUCCUUUGUCAUUGGCUGUCUCCCUCUGCUUACACGCCCACUGUGGAAAGCAGUGACUUGCUUGCCUUGGCUACUACCACAGCCCACAGAGUCGGACUCCUGAAAAUCAGUGAGUAAUGUGCAGGAGUAAUUGUUGAAUUGUAGAGUGGUGUAUAAUUUGUUAUUCCUUCCAACGUUUCUGAGAUGAGAUCUCAAAAUCUUAUAAUAGAGGGAAAAAUUAAUUUACAGGGCCAAGUCUCAUUGACUAAAUAAUUAAAGUUUACAUAAACUUAUAAUGUAUGAGGCCAUUUUAAUUUAAAGAAGUGGGAAUGUGGCAGCCUCUUGGCUCAUGUGAAGCAGAAACCAUUCUGCAUGAAAUGAAAACUCUUUGCGGCCAGUCACUACAUUCGUCUCCUAGCUCAAGCCUUACAGUACUCUAAGAAAGGGUAGGAUACCCUGCACCCUUCCCUCCUAUUAUUUCAUUCAUACAGAGUCUAAGAAAAAUAAGGUCAUCUCCCCAACACUGUGUGGUCCAUAUAUGUCAGACAAGUGGGUCUUUCAUGAAGGACUUAGCUAUUAAAUGUG